UGGCGAACGGCUGAGUAAUGCGAAGGUAACCUACCUUCAGUGGGGAAUAUCUCCGAGAAAUCGGAGCCAAUACCGCAUAUCGUCAUCACACGCGAGUGUGAUGAUGAAAGCCUUCGGGCGCUGGAGGAUGGGCCUUCGUCCCAUCAGGCAGUUGGCAGGGUAACGGCCUACCAAACCUGAGACGGGUAGCUGGUCUGAGAGGAUGGUCAGCCAGAUGGGGACUGAGAUACGGCCCCAACUCCUACGGGAGGCAGCAGCAAGGGAUAUUGCGCAAUGGACGAAAGUCUGACGCAGCGACGCCGCGUGAGGGAUGAAGGCCUUCGGGUCGUAAACCUCUUUUAUUGGUGAAGAGUAAGGACGGUAACCAAUGAAUAAGCCUCGGCUAACUACGUGCCAGCAGCCGCGGUAAUACGUAGGAGGCGAGCGUUAUCCGGAUUUACUGGGCGUAAAGCGCGUGUAGGCGGCUUUUUAAGUUGGCAGUGAAAGGUUCCGGCUCAACUGGGAUUUGCCUGUCAAUACUGGGGAGCUUGAGGGCACCAGAGGAAAGUGGAACUCGCGGUGUAGCGGUGAAAUGUG
rnacentral:rRNA from 1 species